CCAAGGUUUCCAGGGUAAAGCUGAUCUGCCCUGGGUGAGUCGGGACCUAAGGUGAGGGCGGGAGCCGUAGCCGAUGGACAACAGGUUGAUAUUCCUGUACUGCAGUAUGACAGAACUGUGGGGACACGUAAGGAGAGCGGGAGCCGGGAAUGGAAAGCCCGGUACAAGCGAGGUACCAGUACGGUAGGAAAAUCCGCCGUGCAAUGGGAAGACGUGAUGUGGAGCGAAAUUUAGUAGCGAAGCCCGUGAGCCAUGCGUCAAGAAAAGCCGCUAUUGUUUAUACUGUACCCGUACCGUAAACCGACACAGGUGGAUGAGGAGAGAAUCCUAAGGCCGGCAGAAGAAGUAUUGCCAAGGAACUCGGCAAAAUGGCCCCGUAACUUAGGGAGAAGGGGUGCCUGCGAGAGCAGGCCGCAGAGAAUAGGCUCAAGCAACUGUUAGCAAAAACACAGGUCUAUGCAAAACCGAAAGGUGAGGUAUAUGGGCUGACGCCUGCCCGGUGCUGGAAGGUUAAGAGGAGAGGUUAGACGUAAGUCGAAGCUUUGAAUUUAAGCCCCAGUAAACGGCGGCCGUAACGAUAACGGUCCUAAGGUAGCGAAAUUCCUUGUCGGGUAAGUUCCGACCCGCACGAAAGGCGUAAUGAUUUGAGCGCUGUCUCGGCAAUACAUCCGGUGAAAUUGAAGUGCCAGUGAAGAUGCUGGCUACCCGCGCAGGACGGAAAGACCCCAUGGAGCUUUACUCCAGUUUGGCACUGGGGUCCGGUGUUGCAUGUACAGGAUAGGUGGGAGGCUGAGAAACGGUAACGUCAGUUGCCGCGGAGCCGCUGUUGGGAUACCACCCUUGUGAUAUUGGGCUUCUAACCAGCCGCCGUAAUCCGGCGGUGGGACAAUGCCAGGCGGGGAGUUUGACUGGGGCGGUCGCCUCCGAAAGGGUAUCGGAGGCGCCCAAAGGUUCCCUCAGAAUGGACGGAAACCAUUCGAAGAGUGCAAAGGCAGAAGGGAGCUUGACUGCGACACCGACGGGUGGAGCAGGUACGAAAGUAGGUCUUAGUGAUCCGGUGGUAUUAAGUGGGAAUGCCAUCGCUCAACGGAUAAAAGCUACCCUGGGAUAACAGGCUUAUCACUCCCAAGAGUUCACAUCGACGGAGUGGUUUGGCACCUCGAUGUCGGCUCAUCGCAUCCUGGGGCUGUAGUAGGUCCCAAGGUUGGGCUGUUCGCCCAUUAAAGCGGUACGCGAGCUGGGUUCAGAACGUCGUGAGACAGUUCGGUCCCUAUCCGGCGUGGGCGUAGGAUAUCUGAGAGGAGCUGUCCUUAGUACGAGAGGACCGGGAUGGACGGACCGCUGGUGGACCGGUUGGCUUGCCAAAGCCAUGGCCGGGUAGCCAAGUCCGGAAGGGAUAAACGCUGAAGGCAUCUAAGCGUGAAGCCCCCCUCAAGAUGAGAUAUCCCAUUCUUAGUGAAGUAAACCCCCUUGAAGACGACGAGGUAGAUAGGGCAGGGGUGGAAGUGUGGUAACACAUGGAGCUGACUGUUACUAAUCGGGUGAGGGCUUGACC
rnacentral:rRNA from 1 species